UUUGGCGUUGUAUAGUGGUAAGUAUUCUCACCUAUCACGCGGGUGACCCGAGUUUGAUCCCCGGCAAUGACGCCAAAA